CUUCACAUUUCAGAGUUAAUAUGGCGAGACCAGCAUCACUAAAUCUAAGAAGAGAGAGAAACUGUUGGAGUGCCACAUCAUAAUUCCUGGAUAAAGAUUUGAAAGACCAUUAAUAUAAAUAACACACAUUUAUCUCUGCAUUAGCUUGAGCUGUUCAUUUAUGCAGCAGUAUGUAUGGAGUAUCAUGUAAUUUGACCGUGUUGUAUGAUAAACCUUUAGGAUGAAUUAUAGAUUUAAAACGACUAUCCAUUCUAUAAUGGGUGAACCAAGUAAUGUAAGAAUGAAUCCAUAGUGACAAUUUAAAUUGGAAUUCAAGAAAAAGAACACUUUAUUUGCUUCAUAAAAACCUGUGAGGCAUUGCUAUUGAAUAACGUAAGCAGAAUGCAGUCAUAUAAAUCUUCUUAAUUUACAUCUAGGGCUUUAUUAUGCAUAUUUGAUAGCACUCUGAAGAACUUCAAUUUACAGACUUUUGGAACUUUACCAAUCCCAAAAGAAGUGCUAAACAUGCCUGUUGGAACAUUUAACUGAAAUUCCUGCUUGACUCCUCCAGAGGCAUAACCCCUCAGUACUUCAGUAUCAACAUCUCUGAAGUGGAUAUUAUGAAGCUGGUAAGAGAUUUCUUCUACCAGCAAAAGAUGCCUUCACCAAGUAAGCAUUGGAAAUGAGGGAAGUAAGACGAGAGCUUGACUCUACAGUUUAAAUUAACACAUAAUGAACAAAAUGAGUAGAGACCCAUUUUUAAUACAAAUAACUGUGUCGGUAUACAUUGUAGUGCAUAUAUGUAAUAUAUGUACUUUAUAGAGUGAUAUGUAUGCAAUCAGACAAUGGUACAAAUGUUGAGUCACUGUUACUGGUAUCGCUCACCAAAUGAAGCAUGGAUGAGUUAUCUGUACACAUGUUGGCAUCACUCAUUUAAAGACUCUCAAUGAGAGAGGUUUCCUGUCAGAUUAAAUGCACACAUAUUAGCUUCCUGGUAGGCAAAUCUUUAGUGUGGAGAGGGACUUGUUAGGCUAGCAGAGCCUGGUGGAUUUUUAGCUCUUGUGUCACAUAAUUAAAUCAAUUUACACCAUUUUCAUGCUCAUUAAGAAAACUUCCAAUUGUAAUUUGGCUUCCUGUGAAACCUGUUUUUGUGAGAGUGAUGCUGAAGCUGAUCAGAUUCUAAGAAAUAUAUUUAUCAUUAUUAGAAAAUAAAUAGACAUUGCAGCCUAUGUAUCCUUUUCUUAUAAGCUUUUUUAUUAUGAAUUAUAAUUCUUAAAUUUGAUCACUGUGGGGAGAGAGAUAAUAUCAAAUUUCUGUGCCUUAAAGAUUGAGGGUUAAAAUUGCGAUUGGCCAAUUCACACAGAAUAAAGCCCCCUAAUGAGGGCCUCUCUGGGCAACCUGCUGGUUUCCCUGAGGUAAUGUUUCUCUCAUAAUUAUGUUGCAGAAUGUUCCAUUUGGAAUUGUAUUCUCUAAGGCAUAGUAACAUAUUCCUUGUCCUGUUUUGCAAAUAUCAGUUGAAUGGAUUGCCAUCUCUCUAAUAAACUUGUCUAAUAAAGCAUACAGGCUGAGUUCAAAUCUUGUUCUACCUCUUACUAUCUGGAAGACUUAAGGCAAAGUAUUUGACUGUUCUUUGCCUCAGUUUCUUUACAAGUAUAAUAAAUAAUAAUGGUACAUUCCUAUUAGAGUUUUAUGAGAAUUAAUUGGAUGAAUGUUUGUAAGAUGAAAGAACAAUGCCUGCCAUUUAAUAAACUUUUACACAAACUUUUGUUAGUGAAAUAAACUACCCUUUGACUAGUUUCUAUACAUAAAAUAGAUUCCCAAAUUGUAUUCAUUCUGUCAUUAUAAUGUCUCUUAAAUUAGUGCCUGUUUCUUGAAAUUUAUCUCUACUGCUGAUUCAAUUUUUAAACUCGCAUGUAAACUAUUUUAAUAUGUUCCACAGUUGUCAGCCUGCAUAAAAUAUUUUCCCAUUCUGAUUUCAUACUGCCUCAGAGCUAUCUUAAGACAUGCAUCUGAUCACUACACUUCCUCUCCUCAUAUUUAACACUCACUGAGUAUUGCUUAUACUCAGUGUUAGAAUGAAUUCUAAACUCUGCAGUAAGACAUCCCAGGCCAUCCACAAUCUGUUCCUAAUCUCACUCGUCAGCCUCAUUUCACAUUAUGCCCUUCAAAAUCAUUGCAAUCUAAUUACACUCUUCUGCUGGUCCCCAAACGCAUCAACCAAGUUUUCAAGUGGGAAUCAUAGCCACGUUGUUGUUAAAAGCCUGAGAGCUGAAGUCAAGUUUCCUCAGAUUCCAU
rnacentral:lncRNA from 10 species